rnacentral:hammerhead_ribozyme from 1 species
AUCCAGUUGACGAGUCCCAAAUAGGACGAUAUGCGCGUCCUGGAU